AAAACCAAAAUAAAGUAAAAUAAGUGUGCACAGACAUAAGAAAAAAAAUCCUAAGGUUUGGAUCCAAGAAGGGCAAGAAGUUCAUCAAAUUUGUCAUGCAAAGCAUCCACUUUGCCUUCAAGAUUCUGAUGAUUUGCCCUUUGAGUACCAAUAGCGUCUUCCAAAACCUUGAACUUCUCUUCCACAUAGGGAUCCAUAACUGCUUUGCCUUAGUCAGUAGAGUAGCUUGGUUGAUCUUCUGUGGUCAUGAUCAGAUCUGCCAUAUCAACUAACAACCUUUCUUCAUCUAACUUCUGAGCUUCAGCAAGUUGUCUUUCUUCUUCUAACCUCUUGGCUUCAAUCUCCUUAGCAAUCUGAGCUAGUCUUUCCCUGGCAAGCUUAGUUAAUCUUUCCUCUUCAGCUUUUCUUGCUACUUCAGUUUUUCUAGCAGCUUCAGCUCUUGCAGCCUCUAAUUCUUCAUGGCUUAUAAGGGUUAAUCUUUUCAUACUAGCCAUUUCAAUAGAUCUCAUCAUAAUCCUAGCAGCUUUCAUACCCUUAUCAACAAUAUCUUUCUUAACAUCUUGAGCAAUAAGGUCCAAAGCAUCACGAAGGUUUGCUUUGAAGGCAGACACUUCAGCAUCAACAUCAGAAGGGAAUAUAAAUUAAGAACUUAUUUCUAAGCUCAGAUAGUCUCAGAAGAUCACAAUAAAACUGAUUUGAGAGGAUAUCAAAGGGGUCAGAGUUAGAUUCAGGGUUUCUGGUAAAGUUGUAUGGCUUAAGGUAGGGCUUUUAUGGCUUAGGAGUUGGCUUUUUCUUAGAUUUAAGAGAUCUAAGAUCUUUUUCUGGUAACUAUGUUAACAUAGUCAUCUACAUCUACUUCUGGUUUUUCAGAAAUAUGCUCAAAAGCUUGAUCAAAAACAGUAGUAGACAUAACUAAGUUAUCCAUAGUUAAAGGAGGUGGAGGUGCACAGGUAUGAAUACGUAUGGGAGAUUCAGGUUAGUUAGUGUAUAUUUGGUCAGGAAUAUCAAAGGUUUGUUCAGGUUGGGUUUUGGCUUCAUCAUGUGGUUGAGAUGAUGGUUUGCUUGAAGAUGGUUAAGGGGUAGUGUUAGGUUGUUUUUCUGGUGAAAAGUUUGGUUGAGAGAUAGUUUUGGCUAUAUCAUGGGUGAAAGGGUGUGAGUUUAAUGUGUCUUUGCUGNNNNNNNNNNNNNNNNNNNNNNNNNNUGAGUUCUUUAAGAGGGGUGUCAGAAGGAAUUUGAUCAUCUAACUUCUGAGAUGGUUCAGCACAUGACUUCUUUGCAAUGAAAGAAGUGCCUUCACUGAGCACCUCAUUAGUUGUACGAUCAAGCUCUUCUGUCUUAGUGUCAGAAGAUGAAACAUCUAUUGAUGGUUUGGUUUGUUCAUGGAAAAUGGUUUGAAGGGGUAUGGUGUAUCCUUUUUCCAAAUCAGCUUCAGAAGUGGUCUUAGAAGACAUACCUUUAACAACAAGAGCAGUUUUCCCUUUCUGAUCCUUGCAGCAAUUGUCUGAUCAUNNNNNNNNNNNNNNNNNNNNNNNNNNNNNNNNNNNAAUCCUUAGAUGAUGCAGCAGGCUUUCUCUUCUUUGUAGUCGCAUGAUUCUGAACCUCUGGACCCUUCUUAGCAGGAAUUUCAUGCUUCUGCUUUGAUCUUUUCUCAGUCUCUUUCUCAACCUUGAUCUUCUUAAACAUAACCAAAUCUUCUUUGUCUUUUUUAUCCUCUACUUCUGGU
rnacentral:lncRNA from 1 species